rnacentral:rRNA from 1 species
UACGUAGGGAGCAAGCGUUGUCCGGAUUUAUUGGGCGUAAAGCGAGCGCAGGUGGUUUAUUAAGUCUGGUGUAAAAGGCAGUGGCUCAACCAUUGUAUGCAUUGGAAACUGGUAGACUUGAGUGCAGGAGAGGAGAGUGGAAUUCCAUGUGUAGCGGUGAAAUGCGUAGAUAUAUGGAGGAACACCGGUGGCGAAAGCGGCUCUCUGGCCUGUAACUGACACUGAGGCUCGAAAGCGUGGGGAGCAAACAGG